rnacentral:rRNA from 1 species
GACGAACGCUGGCGGCGUGCUUAACACAUGCAAGUCGAACGGGAUUUAGUAGACAGAAGCCUCGGUGGAAGAUUACUAAUGAGAGUGGCGAACGGGUGGGUAACGCGUGAGCAACCUGCCUAUGACAGUGGGAUAGCCUCGGGAAACCGGGAUUAAUACCGCAUAAAAUCGUAGAAACACAUGUUUCAACGGUCAAAGAUUUAUCGGUCAUAGAUGGGCUCGCGUCUGAUUAGCUAGUUGGUGAGAUAACAGCCCACCAAGGCGACGAUCAGUAGCCGGUCUGAGAGGAUGAACGGCCACAUUGGAACUGAGACACGGUCCAAACUCCUACGGGAGGCAGCAGUGGGGAAUAUUGCACAAUGGGGGAAACCCUGAUGCAGCGACGCCGCGUGAACGAAGAAGGUAUUCGUAUCGUAAAGUUCUGUCCUAUGGGAAGAUAAUGACAGUACC